GGAUGUCAGAACCAGUCCUCUAAACCUUUUCAAUUUUCCAAUAAGAAAAUAUGCUGUAGAACUGUGGUGUGAUAUUGGAUAUGAAACAAUUUUUUUGGGGUCUUUUUAAUGUCAAUAUAAUUUUUUUCAUUAAAUUUUAAUUCAUCUGUGUUGUAUACUGUGCAUAUUUUGUUUGCUAUUAAAUAAAAAAAUCUUUCCCGAUAAGGACAUCUUUUCUGAAAGCGCUUCUUAAAAUAGACUAGCUUGAUGCUGUGGAUAGUGCUUUGACAUUGAAGAAAACCAGUGAGAUGCAAAUAAAUUCUUGCAAGGCUGGAAUUGAUGCCUGUAUACUGUAGAAAUGGUUUGACUCACUAGUAGAUUUAUAGGCUGCACAGAGAGCUGGAUCUUUGAAAGAAGUCAGUGAAUUAAGGGCAGACUAUUACCCUGUAGCUCCCAUUAGCCUGCACAUUAACCAUCUAGAUCUACAGAUAUUUCUGUCCCAUACAAAUCACUGCAAUAAUGGGUAUAGGUUUUAUAUAAAGUCAUCAUGGCCAUAAAAUGGAAUAUAGGAACAUUUUACCACUACUGUAGUUAGACUGGCCAAAACUAACCACACAUUUGAAUACAGCUUUGUCAGGAUUUUACUCUUGAGGGCCCAUCUAUUCACAAAUCUGAGGUAGCUGAAUAUCAGAGAGUUAGGUUUCCUGGUAUGGUUUGGUUUGGGUUUUUUUCAGUAAUAAUUCAUAAAAUCAUUUAACUACUUUCAUACAAAAGUACAAUUUGACAAAUCUGAUAGAAAAUAUACCUGCUCUUGGCUGAGGGCAAAGGAAUGGCUAAGAGGACCUGUCAUCUCUGGUUGCAAGCUACUCUUCCUAUCCUUUCUCUUUCAAACAGUGAUGAGUUGUGGUGACAGACACAGUUAAAUAGAGCAGCCCCUUCCAAAGGGUUUAUAGUGUUCUGUGUGCAGCAAGAUCAUAGGAAAGGUCAGCAAGGCCACGAAGAUUCCACAUUGAAGAGUUUCAUCAUGGGGAAGAACCUUUGCCUGUGGCAUUUUGAAUUUCAGUUACUCUACAUGAGAUUCAUAAAACCAAAUGAAGCUUGCAAAGUAGUAGCUACUUUGGAGCUAAGCAUCUGGGCUUAUUCACAGUUAUUAGAAAUUGGUAUUUGAAGGACACAGUUAAUUUCAUCAAAAAGGUCUAAAAUGGGUCAAUGCAAUUGUGUUCUGGAACUACCCAUUUGUCUCUAUUGACUACAAAGACAAGACAGUGUGUUGGUACAAGUAUAAACAAUGGCAGUUUAAAAAUCUAAAGGUAAAUGAAAUUUAUUUCUGACUUUUCUCUCAUUUGCAUAUUGCCAUCCUUUUUCAUGUGAAAAGGAAUCAGUCGACUCAAAACAGAUUUACCAUAAUGCCUUUAGUUGAUUUUUGACCGUUCAAUAGCUAGUUAUAUCCACCUUAUGUCCUUUAGUACAAUAACUUGUCACAGACUUCAAAUUUUGGGUCAUACUUCUGCAUUAGUUUAGCACAUUGUUCAUUAAACUAAAAAAAUAAAACCAAAAAGCCAUGCUAACUUAUGAAUUUCCAGGGUAAUAGACUUUCUUCUACAGUCUUCAACAUUAAACAGUGACAAAAAUGGAAAAGAUGAAGAUUGCAAUAUCUUCCCUGAUUUUAUUUUAGAUGCAAUGAGGGAAAUUUCAGCCCCGUCCUGCCUGCCCAGCAAUGUAUGCACCUAAACAUAAAGAUAAAACUUGGUUGGUCACUUCACUUAACUUCAGUUUGCUAAAGUACUCCAAAGUUGCUAACAUGCUCCAUUUGGAAAGUGUGCUUUGAAAGGAUCCUGUAGUGUGGUUAUAAUAUCCAGCAGAAGCUAAAAAAUAGCACAAUUUUGCUGUACUUGUAUUUUUACAUCUUCUUACAGAUGUUGUGACUCCCCAUAAGGCUUUGCAGGAACAGGAGUGUUUUAUUCAUUGACAAGCCCAAAGCUACGGCUAAUGAACCCAGGCCAGCAAUGCAGCUGCCGUCAGCUGAGCUGGGAUAUUCGUGGAGAAGAUUUUUUUUUAAUGUGUGCAACAUCUCUUUGCUGAGUGUGUUCAGACUUGGCACAGUUAGAAAUAGCUAAUGUUCAGCUAUUUUCUGCUUUGAUAGGAGAUGCUUGUGUUCAGUGAGUUUUUUCUCCUACAUAUGACAGCUAUAUUCUCAGUUUCUUACAGAUUUCAUAAAAAUUAGCUAACCAGAGUUAUAAAAAUACACUGAAAUAAGUAAUAGUCAUUUAAAAACCUUGCCUACCAGUCUUCUUGUAGUGAUAUGGAUUAUUUAGAAUUGUCAGAUUAAAUAAGGCAAUGUAGCUCAAAAGAUGUAAAAGGCAAAUUGGAUGUAUAUAAAAUUAAUUCAAUUUCCAUUCAUUUCUUAGUGAGAAUUUUUAAAGGAGAAAGUUAUAAUUAUAGUCAUGUUUUGAGUAAACACAAUGAGACUGAUUUCUUGUUUAUAAACCAACACUCAUGUUUUGUUAUGCAUAUAUAACUAUACAGUUAAUUUUUUGUCUCAGAGAAGUGUGUUAUUUAGUACUUUUGUCAUACAUUUCUGUCAUUAUCCUGAACAAAAGCGUUGAAGAUAUUGUGGCCUAAAAAAAUUUUUAAAAGGCUAUCCAAACAAUCAGCUCACCCUCCAAAAAAAAAAAAAUUCCAAAAAUACUGAUGGAAGAAAUCUCUUUCUAUAUUGGAGCAAUAUUUGGGGUAAGUUAUUGGUGUUUUUUUCUGAGUAUUCAUUUUGCUAUGGGUAUGGUAAUUAUUUUUAUUGUGAAUGAACUCAGAAGUGUUCAGAUUAGCAAAUGAGUGCUUUUCUAAAUCUAAAUAAUAAUGAAAGAUCAAUAAGUGAUUCUAAAAUUACUUGUGACAGAUCUCAGCAAUAACAGAGGAAUAUAGUUUUCAAUUAAUUUGUGUACUUCAGCACAUUUAUGUCAAUGAGACUGAUUAUAUGUUAUGGCUGUGCAAAUAAUAGAUUUUUUAAUUUAGUUUCCAAAUUAAGCAAUAGAAACAAUUUUGUUCUGAAAAACAAGUGUUUUUCAGUUGGAGUUUUAUUUUUCCACUUUAGUUCUGAGAAUAAUGAAAAAUAAUCACUCAGUUUGAGACUAAAGUGUUUUGUGGCCUUGUAUAAACAUUUUUCUUGAAACACAGGUAAGAAAAAGCAAAUAAGAACAUGGACCAAAUCCAGAAAAAGCUGCUGGAGAAAGCCAAAUUUUUCUUUCUGUUUGAGGGUUAUAACAUCUAUUUGCACUGUGCACCUUAGAUUUAGUUUUCAGUUCAGCUUACAGGAAUUAAAUCCUAAACUUCUCUGUUCCUAAAUGCCAAGUUGUGAAUGGUUUUGAAAAGAGGAAAAUUCUACCAAAAUUAAGGCAUCCUCAUCUCUCUUCUCUGCAUUAUUGUCAGAAUAUAUAUAGCCCCAUGAGAAAUUCAUAAUUUAAACUAUGAAAUAAACUGUUUCAUAUUCCUACCCUUAGUCAGAAAGAGAACAAACCUGAGUUCAGGAAAGAACCAUAAUAGUUGGGAUGUGCAGCGUGUGAAGGCUGGGAAAUUUAUAGAUAGGAUAUUCACAUUUUGGGGAUACUGUAUUUUAUAUGAGACAUCACUGAGUCAUCACUGAGGGAGCAAUAGCUUGGUAAUAUGGGGUUCAGAAAACCUUUCCAGAACCACUGUAUUUAAAGAGCACCAAUAAAAUACAACAGAGUUAAAGCUAAAAAUGCUCUCCCAUCUCUGCUUUCUACCCUGAAGUUAAGAUGCUAACCCAUGAUCUGUGAGUAAGCUGGGAGCUGGCUCAUGUACUGCCAUGUUUUGUAUGAAUGUCAGGAGCAAUGGAUUAAACAGGCAUAAUGGUAGUCCUACACUUGUGUGUAUGUAAUGAAAUUAUGAAAAUUCUGGUAAUGAUUACAUUUGGCUUGUGCUCACAUCAUCUUGAAGGGACUGAAAAUGCAUUUUGUGGAAGAAUUUAUACUUUGUCAAAUUAUCAUCAUCACCAUCAUCUCUACUCAUGUCUCCUCAUUUGACAUCAGCCUUAGCUGCAGGCCUUCAAUGGAUGAAGACAGAGCAGAAAUAAAAGAUACAAUCGACCACACUUAGCACAAUAACGAUGUUUGAUAUGGAGUAUGUUUCAUUUUGCAUCAUGAUACUUAAUUACUGCAGUUACAGGAAAUAGGGGGAGAAAUAUUUCUACUUUGUCAAGUGCACGCAGUGUUGGACUUACAGAAUAAAUACAUUUGACUCUAAGAAUUGA
rnacentral:lncRNA from 1 species